UUGCCCUCUUUUUGGUUUAUAUUAAUUAAAAGAUGGCCUUGAGCAAUAUCUUUUGCUAUUCUGUUUGUUCAUUGUGUACUUACUCUUUCAUCACUUCUUGUCCCUCAGCAAAAAUAUCCAGCAGUUAUUAACUGGUAUUGAUCAGUAAAAGGUUCUUCGCUGUUCUUCAGUAGUGAUUGAAGUCCUGACAUGAUUAGGUUGAGUUAUUCCAGUUUUGCUCUACUGGUUUGGCUUCCAGGAAUACUCAAUGCACAGGGAACACCAGAGUUAUGCAGUGCUCCCACACUGCUAAAUGGUUUUUUUGUCCCCAUGAAGGACUCUUACCAGCAACAUGAAAAGAUCGAGUACGCCUGUGAGAAUGAAUACAAACCUGCAGUGGAGCGGGCAGAAAGCGUGUGUAGAAAUGGUCAAUGGUCUCCUCAGCCACUGUGCAUUGGUGGCAUCAGUGGAAGUUGCUGAUCAGGGAGGGCUCAAGGAUGUCAUCAGUGGCGACCCUGGAGCUCUGGACCGUACCCGUCUGAAUCCACCAGGUAUUGACGCCGACCUUCUUGGCGACGGGAGUCUAGGAUCUCCCCAAUGAGAUAGGCCGCCUUUCCAUCCACCAUCAAGGGAGGCACACCGACGUCAGAGGGUUCCGACCCCCCCCGCCCGCCCCAUCUGGAGGUCUACUGGCGGGCUUCAGCAAAGAGACGUGGGCGGUGGAUGGGUGGGAGAGAAGUGAUAGUCAGGAGGCAACAGGAGGUGAAGCCAGAGGUCUCGGGUGAAAGGCCAGACCCAUUGACCGGGAACCAGAUCGGGACCUUCCCUGUCAGCAGGUGGGCUUGAGGCCCCUAGUGUUUUCAUGAGAUGUAUUUUAAUUUAUUCAGUCUUUUAACCACUAUAAUAAAUCUCUUUUAAAAUUGGAGCCACGUCUCCACUUGGUUGAGUCCCCAUUUUUUAUUAGUGUGUGCCUGAACAUCUUAUGUUGUCACACACCUACAUGAUGAACUGACUGGCUGGGUCCAGGCGAUGGAGGAUUGGCACCUGGGUAAAGCACUGCUCAGGUGUCUGUAAUGCCUCCGUGGCUGCCUGGUCCAUAUCAGACCUUUGGGAGCGCCCUUCAGUGGAGAGGUGAGAGGGUCUGCCACCAUGCUGAAGCCAUGGAUGAAACGUUGGAAGACAUUGGCUAACCAGAGGAAACGCUGCAGCUCCUUUACUGUGUUUGGCUGGGACCACUGCAGCACCACGUAAACCCCUUGCCCUGAUCCAUCACCACGCCCCACUGCGCUGAUCACAUAACCCAGAAAAGACACUGAUGUUUCAUGGAACUCCCGCUUCUCUCCCUUGGCGUACAGGUUAUGCUGGAUCAGCCGCUGUAAUACCUGCCGAACAUGUGCAACAUGCUCCUUCAACGUGUCAGAGUAGACCAGGAUGUCGUUGAUGUAAACGACAACAAAGCAUUGCAGCAUGUCCUGGAAGAUGUCGUUAACAAAUGCCUGGAACACAGAGGGGUGUUAGAGACGAAAAUGACCAAACAUUCUCUUUCACUCAUGCAAAUGAGGUUUGUGAACAAUAGUUUUGUUUUGUAGAUCCACAGCAGCAAAUCAAAGAAGCUGCACUUGCUUCAAUAAAAUCCUGACUCGAACCCAUCUUUCUCGGUUCGUUUCCAAUCCGACUGAGCUUCAGUUCGCUCUGAAAAUCUUCAGUCUGAAUACAAUCUGUUCCCGGAGCGCAACAACUGAACCAAAAUGGCCAGCGUAGCCGGUGGUCACGUGGUCCAAAAGACAGUCAGAAUCUAGCAAAUGAUGAACUUGUGUAAAGUAACAAUAAUUUUGGUAUCAAAGAGCUAAAAAACUCCUUACUUGUUACAAGUAACACUGCUGAAAAUGCUUCUUACAUGCCUUUCUGUGUCUCGUUACACGCCACGCGCUGCUGUGACAUAAUCCAAUUAGCUACCUUGUAGUUUCACAGCAGAAUUCUCUCAAACAAUGCCGUAACAUCACAACAAUGAGACACAGCAACUUACUGAAAUUUGAUUAGAUGAAUGCAGGCUCAAUAAAACAACUUUUAACUUGAUGCACAUUGCUGUUCACAGUUUUCCCGACAUCUAUAUGUCAUAAACACUUAGCAGACUACCGUCAUAGUAACUUCACAUCAUCACAGCAGUUGCUAGCAUCCUCUGAGUUAAAGCACAGUAACAGCCAGCAUACCUUGGCCGUACCAAAGUAACAAGUAAACAGUGUUGUUCCCAACGUUCAGAACUGAUGAUCAAAAUAAGAGUUUUGACAAGUUAAAAGUCCCGAUAAGAGUUGUAAAGCGAAGCACGUCUGUCUUUCUCUUGUUGUUUUGACCCCCCCCCCCCCCCGAAUUCCUGGCUAAUGACUGACGAGAUGUUUAGUCACAUAGUUUUAUUAACAAGCUUUGGUCUGUAGCAGAAUAAACUGCUUGAUGCCAGACUGAAUACUGACCAAACGCACAAAUUAAGUGGACUCGAUCCAGAAAAAAUAAAUUUUCCAGUCUAGAUUCACCCUCUCAUCCAACUGUAGGUGGUGGAUGUGCACUAGUAAACAGUAGUAAAAGAAAAAGCCCCCCCCCCUGCUUGUUGUCACAAGAACAGGCAGACAGCUGGAUCCAAAUGCAGCAGGUUUAUUAGCUCAGCUAAAAGUCCACAAAGCUAAAUCAUGGUCAAACAGGUAAGAGUCAAUAACAGGCUAUAAGUUCAUCACAGAAGAGACAGGAUGGUCAAAAUCCAGGCAAGGGUCAGGGCAGGCGGCAGGCAGAGUCAGAGCCAGGAGACAGAACAUCAGUUCCAGAAAUAAUGUUCGGUAAAGUCGGCAGAGCGGCACAAACAAUAAUACACAUGGAGCUGAGCUCAGUGCAGUCCUAAAGUAUGCUCUUUCAUUGUGCACAUUAUAGUCUACAAACAUAGGUUGACUGUUUUGUUAUUCAAGUUUACAUAAAAAUGAUCCAAAGACUUUCAGCCAAACAGCUUAAAUCUAAGUUAGUUGGACUUAAUUUUAAAUUCUAAAACUGUGUGCAGAAAUAUUCACAACUUUGUUGCAUUUGUUGAAUUUAUUUUAUAGGUUGUCCCACAAGAUAUACUGGCAGUGUAAGUGCUCUAAAAUUGUAUUUUUAUACAAAAGCAUUGUUCUACUUUUAAACUGGCUGUAUUAAUAAGUAAUUGACAUAAAUUUCCCAAUUUUUUUAUUUUGUUUGUUUGUAUGUUUGUUUUGCCAUCAGAGAGACUGCGAUUUCAUUAACAGAGCCGUGGUUCUGUCAUGGUUUGGGUUUCUUUGUAUUGGUUUUUGCUUCCUGUCUUGUUCUGUCAUGGUUGAGUUCUGU